rnacentral:rRNA from 1 species
UGAACGCUGGCGGCAGGCCUAACACAUGCAAGUCGACCGGUAACAGGAAGAAGCUUGCUUCUUUGCUGACGAGUGGCGGACGGGUGAGUAAUGUCUGGGAAACUGCCUGAUGGAGGGGGAUAACUACUGGAAACGGUAGCUAAUACCGCAUAACGUCGCAAGACCAAAGAGGGGGACCUUCGGGCCUCUUGCCAUCGGAUGUGCCCAGAUGGGAUUAGCUAGUAGGUGGGGUAACGGCUCACCUAGGCGACGAUCCCUAGCUGGUCUGAGAGGAUGACCAGCCACACUGGAACUGAGACACGGUCCAGACUCCUACGGGAGGCAGCAGUGGGGAAUAUUGCACAAUGGGCGCAAGCUUGAUGCAGCCAUGCCGCGUGUAUGAAGAAGGCCUUCGGGUUGUAAAGUACUUUCAGCGGGGAGGAAGGGAGUAAAGUUAAUACCUUUGCUCAUUGACGUUACCCGCAGAAGAAGCACCGGCUAACUCCGUG